rnacentral:rRNA from 1 species
AGAGUUUGAUCCUGGCUCAGGAUGAACGCUAGCUACAGGCUUAACACAUGCAAGUCGAGGGGCAGCGGGAUUGAAGCUUGCUUCAAUUGCCGGCGACCGGCGCACGGGUGAGUAACGCGUAUCCAACCUUCCGUACACUCAGGGAUAGCCUUUCGAAAGAAAGAUUAAUACCUGAUGGUAUGAUGAGAUUGCAUGAUAGCAUCAUUAAAGAUUUAUCGGUGUACGAUGGGGAUGCGUUCCAUUAGGUAGUAGGCGGGGUAACGGCCCACCUAGCCAACGAUGGAUAGGGGUUCUGAGAGGAAGGUCCCCCACAUUGGAACUGAGACACGGUCCAAACUCCUACGGGAGGCAGCAGUGAGGAAUAUUGGUCAAUGGACGAGAGUCUGAACCAGCCAAGUAGCGUGAAGGAUGAAGGUCCUACGGAUUGUAAACUUCUUUUAUAAGGGAAUAAACCCUCCCACGUGUGGGAGCUUGUAUGUACCUUAUGAAUAAGCAUCGGCUAACUCCGUGCCAGCAGCCGCGGUAAUACGGAGGAUGCGAGCGUUAUCCGGAUUUAUUGGGUUUAAAGGGAGCGCAGACGGGUCGUUAAGUCAGCUGUGAAAGUUUGGGGCUCAACCUUAAAAUUGCAGUUGAUACUGGCGUCCUUGAGUGCGGUUGAGGUGUGCGGAAUUCGUGGUGUAGCGGUGAAAUGCUUAGAUAUCACGAAGAACUCCGAUUGCGAAGGCAGCACACUAAUCCGUAACUGACGUUCAUGCUCGAAAGUGUGGGUAUCAAACAGGAUUAGAUACCCUGGUAGUCCACACGGUAAA